rnacentral:rRNA from 1 species
GACGAACCGUGCGAACGUUAUUCGGAAUCACUGGGCUUAAAGCGCGUGUAGGCGGGCCGGCACGUCGACGGCUGAAAUCCCCCGGCUCAACCGGGGAAGGGGCCUCGAUACGACCGGCCUGGAGGGGGGUAGGGGGCGCCGGAACUCACGGUGGAGCGGUGAAAUGCGUUGAGAUCGUGAGGAACGCCCGUGGCGAAAGCGGGCGCCUGGACCCCGCCUGACGCUGAGACGCGAAAGCCAGGGGAGCGAACGGG